rnacentral:miRNA from 1 species
UACGUUAUGAGUCGUCGCGUUAA